rnacentral:rRNA from 1 species
UACAGAGGGGCAAGCGUUGUUCGGAAUUACUGGGCGUAAAGGCGCGUAGGCGGCCGCCUAAGUCAGACGUGAAUCCUCGGCUCAACCGGGGAACUGCGUCUGAUACUGGGUGGCUUGAAUCCGGAGAGGGAUGCGGAAUUCCAGGUGUAGCGGUGAAAUGCGUAGAUAUCUGGAGGAACACCGGUGGCGAAGGCGGCAUCCGUGGACCGGUAGUUGACGCGUGAGCG